AAAAAUGCUUGUGAAAUUACAUAUAAGCCCUUAGUUUUCACAGAAUUUCGAUUAUAUCCCCGUCCGUUAUACCCGAAUGUAACGAUGUACUCGAGACCCAGAGAGUAACCGGAUCGUUUUUCGCUGAACUCUUUCAUUUUCUUCAGGCUCAACAAACAGAUGUUAGGAUUUUUCAAAAAGAGUCUAUGAAGUACAUAAUUUAUAGGUCAUCUACACUACACAGUGCAUCGGAAACCUCUCAUAAACCCGAAAAAUGGCAGCUCUUCAAUUGCGUCGUUUCCGUCAAAUCUCUCACUUUCUCCCCUAUUAUUUCCCAGGGAUAUGUCAAUUCACAGUGGGUAUAUUUGAAGAGAACUCUUUUUGAUGCGUUGAAAUCUGUGGCAUGGAGAAAAGGGAUUGCUCGUCGGGCCCCAGAUACACCUACAAAGGACUGCAUAUUAAGUAGCAAAGAGCCAACAGAACAUGAACUUGUACUCUCUGGCAUUUGGGAGCUGGGAUUGCAAUGAUGAUCUUCCGUUUACACAGAGCUUUGAGUCAGCAAGACAAGCUGGACUCCUGCAUAGCAGCUACUCCGAAGAUCGUGAUCUCUAUGUCACUGGUGACUUGUACCAAAAUGAUGUUGUCACUCUGGCCACAAUUGUUGUUCCCCGACGCAGGAAGAGGAGAUAUGGGUUGUUUUCCUGCUGCUUGAGGCCAUCUUGUGAUUUGUGAGAAACCAAUGACAACUUAGAAGACUUUCUGAGAUGCAUCAUAUGCCUACAUGCAAAAGAAUGAUGGCAGACAACAUAGUUGUGACUAAAACCAUUUUAAGCUUUUAUAUUUUGAUGCAGCUAUGUAUCAAAGAGCAGAGCUCAGAAGAAGCCACUGGCUUGGUCAUCAGAUUUAUUAUCAGUAGAACAGGAGAUAAAGCAAAAGUGUCAGAACUCGUGAAGGAGGUGGCAAAAUUUGAUGACUUCAUGCUCUUGGAUAUCAAAGAGGAGUACAGUUUUCCUUCUUUAAAGCCGCCUAUGCACUUUAUGUUUCUGAAUUCUAUGUCAAAGCUGGCGCCGACAUAUAUUUGAGGCCAGUUCAGAAUCUCAGGAGCCUCUGAGAAGCAAUUAAGUUAUGGUCAUUGGAUAACUGCCUGUUGUAUUUGGCUCCCACUGGAAGCCCAUCAUCUGUGGAUCUUAUAUUAAAGUCGACAGACAAUGAUACAAACACAUGGCAGCUCAGGGUUUGGAUCUCAAUGUGCAAGACAAGGGUGGCUCCUUCAACUUGCUUGUGUUCAACUCGUAUAUUGAAUGUUUACAUAAUGCGCCAGUCAAAAAAAUUCUCAAGAGGGACGAGUCUAUCUUUUGAUCCCAUGCUCGAACAUAUACCGGAAGGGAAGGAGUUUAGUUAAAACUCAAUCUGAAUAACCACAAAAUGAGUGGCAUCAUUCAGUAUUGUGUUGUUGACGUCAUUUUUAUAUCAGAUUCUAUCUUUAUAUGGAGACUUAUUUUGAUGGUUAACAGCAUGAAACAAAGACAAGACACUUCUGAACUUUUUUAACAAGCACAUACCAAAUCGUAAAAUGUUGAUAUUAGAUCUGAAACUUGAAAGUAUAUGUUAGUUAUACAUUUUAAUAAGCACAUACCAAAUCGUAAAAUAUUGAUAUUAUAUCUGAAACUUGAAAGUAUAUGUUAGUUAUACAACAGGCCCGUGCCUUGCACGGGCUUUUACGCUAGUUAUAUAUAUAAUGCUGCAACAAGCACUUUGGUUGAGCCAUUUUAUUCCAUGUGGCAGCCACGUCAGAUGACAUCUGAGAUCCACGUAAGGUCGGUGACUCCAUAUCGUUUAUUAAACGGUUUAAUUUAAACCUACGCAACUUUACAGCUUCUUCCGCGGCUCUACAACUCCCUUUAUUCUCGUCACCAUGCCAUAUAAUCAACGGUCGAAGUACUAAAAUCUACAUCAAGUAGCCUUCUAUAUUCUCUCUUAUGGGUCUCAUGGCAGCCUAUUUCCUGUAAAUUAGGGCUUUUCUCUGAAUCGAUAAACACAUCAGAACAAGCAGUGGAAUUUUCGGAGAAGUGUUUUUAUAUGUCUGGUUGAUCGAAACUUUCUGGGAUUUUUCUAUUUUGAGGAAUGGAGAAUGACAAGCAACAGUGUGAUUAAGCUGUGUGGAAGUAAGGAUGAUGGGAGUAAUGGCUUAAAGAAGACGGUAGUUAAUGGAACUGGAUCAGCUGUUACUUGGUUUGGUGCAGUGAUAGUUAUAGUUUAAGGAAGUCAGUUAGAGAUUGUUUUCCUAACAAAGAAUUGCCUGCGACUUUGGAAAGUAUGACGAGGUCAGAAAGAUUGGUGAAAAGCGCGUCAGUGUCGCCGGUAAGCAAUAGGAAGUUUGGGAGAAUUAGUAAAGAAUUGACACCAAGCCCUUUGAGGUGGUCUGAUGGAGGUAAGAAACAGAUUACACCGGGUUCCUUAGAACCAAAGAAGUCUGAGGAGAAGGUGUCUGUAGCGGAAGAUCGGGAUCAGAUGAAGAAUAAAAGAGAGAAGAGUUUGAGUGAGUUGACGAGAGAAAAUAAAUGUGAGGGUGAGACCUCUGGUCUUGGCGUGCAUUCAGAGCUCUUUUUAAGAGACAAUCAAACAUAAAAUCUGUUGCAGACAAGAAUGGCAUUAGCUCCUCUGAAAGGGAUAGUGUCGUUGAAGAGAAUUUAGCAAUUGCAGAAAAAUUGGUUGUUGACUUAUUCCAAGGGAGUUUUCUGAGCCAUUUUAUUCCAUGUGGCAGCCACUCCAGAUUACACUUGAGAUCAACGCAAGGUAACAAUACAAUAUGCAGUGGAAUUACAUUUGGCAAGAUCUCAAUGGCUUAUAUGAUCUCUUUAUGGAUGCUAUUGGAAUACUUAUGAGAUAUCAAGAAGCUCGGUGAAACAGAGUUGAUGUAAAAAGGUGCUGGAUUUAAGCUCAACAUUCUAUUUUUAUAGCAAAAUAUAGCACAGUGAUAUAUUCACUUUAUCUUGACUCGGAGUAGAAAGGAGGAUUGCCUGUGUAAUACUUAUAUUCGGCUUAUCCUAGCUAUGAUUUUAUUAGGAGAUUAUGUUAAUGCAAAAAAAUGUUGCUGUUGAUUUGCUGCA